ensembl:lncRNA
CAGGUGAGUUUGAUCAGGGUUGGAGUUGACCUGAUCUCCUUGGGUUUUUAAAACCCCAUUUUACAGCGGUUUAUGUUGCAGUGACACGGCUAUUUGUUUUAGGGAAGCGGUCAAGCUCAUGGAAGCAGUUAUGGACGUGGAAGCGGUCAAGCUCCGGGACGUGAUCCGGGAAGCGGUCAAGCUCAGGGAAGCAGUUAUGGAAGCGGAAGCAGUUAUGGAAGCGGAAGCGGAAGCAGUGGUGGACGCUGGAGCGGAAGCAGUUACGGAAGCGGAAGCGGAAGCAGUUAUGGAAGUGGAGGUGGAAGCGGUCAAGCUCAGGGAAGCAGUUCUGGAAGCGGAGGCGGAAGCAGUUAUGGAAGCGGAAGUAGUUAUGGAAGCGGUCAAGCUCAGGGAAGUGGAAGCGGUCAAGCUCAAGGAAGCAGUUAUGGAAGUGGAGGCGGUCAAGCUCAAGGAAGCAGUUCUGGAAGUGGAGGCGGUCAAGCUCAGGGAAGCAGUUCUGGAAGUGGAGGCGGAGGCAGUUCUGGAAGCGGAAGCAGUUAUGGAAGUGGAGGCGGUCAAGCUCAGGGAAGCAGUUCUGGAAGCGGAGGCGGAAGUGGUCAAGCUCAGGGAAGCGGAAGCAGUUAUGGAAGCGGAAGCAGUUAUGGAAGCGGAGGCGGAAGCGGUCAAGCUCAUGGAAGCAGUUAUGGAAGUGGAAGCGGAAGCAGUUAUGGAAGUGGAAGCGGUCAAGCUCAGGGAAGCGGAAGCGGUCAAGCUCAGGGAAGCAGUUAUGAAAGUGGAAGCGGAAGCAGUUAUGGAAGCGGAGGCGGAAGCGGUCAUGAUCAGGGAAGCAGUUAUGGAAGUGCAAGUAGCUAUGGAAGUGGAAGUGAUCAGGGAAGAGGUCAAGCUCAGGGAAGCGAUCAGGGAAGUGGUUAUGGAAGUGGAAGCGGUCAAGCUCAGGGAAGCGAUCAGGGACGUGGAAGUGAUCAGAGAAGAGGACGUGGUCAUGGAAGCGGUCAAGCUCAGGGAAGCGAUCAGGGACGUGGAAGUGAUCAGAGAAGAGGACGUGGUCAUGGAAGCGGUCAAGCUCAGGGAAGCGAUCAGGGACGUGGAAGUGAUCAGAGAAGAGGACGUGGUCAUGGAAGCGGUCAAGCUCAGGGAAGCGAUCAGGGACGUGGAAGUGAUCAGAGAAGAGGACGUGGUCAUGGAAGCGGUCAAGCUCAGGGAAGCGAUCAGGGACGUGGAAGUGAUCAGAGAAGAGGACGUGGUCAUGGAAGCGGUCAAGCUCAGGGAAGCGAUCAGGGACGUGGAAGUGAUCAGAGAAGAGGACGUGGUCAUGGAAGCGGUCAAGCUCAGGGAAGCGAUCAGGGACGUGGAAGUGAUCAGAGAAGAGGUCAAGAUCAGGGAAGUGGUUAUGGAAGUGAAAGUGGUCAAGCUCCGUGAAGCGAUCAGGGAAAUUGUAAUGGAUGUGGUCAUUUGAAAUGGGCAUUUUGCAUAAUCUUUACUUGAUCUUUUCAAUUCAGAGCUUUAUUCAAUUUCUUGAUUAAAGAUUUGGUGUUAUCAUUUGUCUGCUUUCUGGCAUCAGUGCUUUGUGCAAGUUUCUCUCCAUAUUAUAUAAUAUUAGUCCAUUUUUACACAAAAUAUAAAACGUUAUGUCUUGGGGACCAUAAAACCCUUUUUUUUUUUUCUUUUUUUUUUUUUUUUUUUUUUUUCUUUUUUUUUUUGCUGCAGCUGUUACGCCUUCUGCAAAUUCUUUGCAUUUCUGUAUUCUC